GACAGAGCUUGCUCUGUUCAAGUUAGCGGCGGACGGGUGAGUAACACGUGGGCAACCUGCCCGGCAGAUUGGGAUAACUCCGGGAAACCGGGGCUAAUACCGAAUAACAUUGGAAACCUCAUGGUUUCCUUUUAAAAGGCGGCUUCGGCUGUCACUGCAGGAUGGGCCCGCGGCGCAUUAGCUAGUUGGUGAGGUAACGGCUCACCAAGGCGACGAUGCGUAGCCGACCUGAGAGGGUGAUCGGCCACACUGGGACUGAGACACGGCCCAGACUCCUACGGGAGGCAGCAGUAGGGAAUCUUCCGCAAUGGACGAAAGUCUGACGGAGCAACGCCGCGUGAGUGAAGAAGGUUUUCGGAUCGUAAAACUCUGUUGUCAGGGAAGAACAAGUACGGUAGUAACUGCCCGUACCUUGACGGUACCUGGCCAGAAAGCCACGGCUAACUACGUGCCAGCAGCCGCGGUAAUACGUAGGUGGCAAGCGUUGUCCGGAAUUAUUGGGCGUAAAGCGCGCGCAGGCGGCCUUUUAAGUCUGAUGUGAAAGCCCCCGGCUCAACCGGGGAGGGUCAUUGGAAACUGGAAGGCUUGAGUGCAGAAGAGAAGAGCGGAAUUCCACGUGUAGCGGUGAAAUGCGUAGAGAUGUGGAGGAACACCAGUGGCGAAGGCGGCUCUUUGGUCUGUAACUGACGCUGAGGCGCG
rnacentral:rRNA from 1 species